GGAUGUGAGGGUGAUCUGGGUGCGACAUUUGUCACCCCAUUGAUCGCCAGGGUUGAUUCGGCUGAUCUGGCUGGCUGGGCGGGUAUCCCCUCCCUCCCUCACUGCUCCAUGUGUGUCUCUCCUGAAGCUGCACGCUCAGUCAAAGAGAAUGACCUUCCCAGAUAGAGGAGAACCAUUCUUCCAUCAAGAGUAUAUGAGUAGCUGCACUCCCCUGCUAGAACCUCCAAACAAGCUCCCACUUUGUUGACAUUUCGAGCUGUCUGCACUGCACUGGUUCCACGACAGAAUUCAUAUUCGAAAAUAACAUGAAUUCUUU
rnacentral:snRNA from 1 species